AACGCACAUUGCGCCUGCCGGCAUCCCGGCAGGCAUGCCUGUUCGAGCGUCAUUUCAACCCUCAGGCUCCGCCUGGCGUUGGGGUCCUGCGCACCGCAGCCCCCUAAAGACAGCGGCGGGUGCGUCCCAGAAUCGAACGUAGUAGCUUCUUCUCGUUCGGGUUCGGGGCGUCCUCCGGCCGUAAAAGCUCUCCACAGUGGUUGACCUCGGAUCAGGUAGGAAUACCCGCUGAACUUAA
rnacentral:misc_RNA from 1 species